UAUAUAAGUACAAAUGUUCAGGCUUAAGUUGUCUUGAAAGGAUCAUCAUCAUUUAAAGAUGCUGAAACUUCUGGUACUCCUUAGUGCUGUCCUCGUGGUAUGUAGUGCCCAGGGCUGUACAAACUGCCAGGUUGAUGGACGUACAUACAGAGGCGGUAGCAAUUUCCAGUUCGACACAGGAUGCUAUCGUUUCUCCUGUAGGUGCAACUGCAAUGGAUCUUGGGAUUGCCCAAACAGUUCAACUAUUAACAAAUGUACAGGAGGCGGAUACCAAAGUUCAGACCCCGCUUGCAGAAACUGUAACGCAUAUGGAAGAACCUAUGGGCGCGGUCUCUUUCAAAUGGACAAGGGUUGCUACCGAUAUAACUGUAUCUGUAAUUGCGAUGGCUCGUAUGACUGCCCAAAUCAGAGGACCACAAAUAUUUGCUAACUUUCAGGAAGUACGACAUUACGAGAAAUUGCUGUCAUAUGAUUCGACAUUUGCAACAGACUUGCGACCAAAUUAAUGAAUACUAACUAAUCACAAACUAUUCAAUGUUUUAUUCAAAUGACUGUAAAAAAUAAAUAUGGAAAUCAAAAUA